UUGGCUGUCAGCACUGCUCCAAGACCCAAAUACUGGGGCUGUGGAUGGAGAACCUGGCUGGAGGCAGUCAGGGCUCCGCUGUUCAGGGACUUAAGUAAGGGGACUGAGCUGGCCUGGGGUUGGUCGCACACUCACUGUGGCUGCACAUUCCCGUUCUCUGCUUCCAGGGCAAGGAGAGGACCGUGCAUCCUCAGUGACAGUGGUGCCUCACCAUGCUUUAGAGAAGCCUGUCCUUGCCCCCGAGCUGCUCUCCAUGGAGUCCUGUUUGCGCACCGGAGGUCCCUGUGAAGGAGCGUCCAUCAGGUCUGGACGUGCACCUGACCUCGCUGACUGAGAACGUGGUGACUAAGGUGACUAAUGCUCCAUUACUUCUGCGUCUGAUACCCAGGUCCAUGCAGGCUUCUCUGGCCUCUGUCCUUGGAUCCUUAAAUUAAUCCAAGGAUGCAGCAGUUGGGGCCUCACUGGAGAACUCGUGUAUUUACCACACAGGAGACUGAGGCAGGGAGUGGGUUACGGAGGGGACGGGAGAGCUGAGAAGUCAGAUGGGGGCUGGGAGGCAACUCAGAGGCCAGGAGAGAAGGCGGCGGCUCCAUCCCUGGGCUGGAGCGGGGUGGGUGGUGCUGGCGGAGCCCAGGGCUGGGGUCUCUGGGGAAGCUGGACCCACAGCAGCCUCGGUGUGCAGGAACGACGUGCGCAGCAGGCCGGAGGCUGCCUGAUUCUGACGCGUGUUCAUGGAGGCCCGUGUGCAGCGAUGAGCCCCAGCCAGCAUCCGGGUGAUCCCCAGCCAGCAUCCGGGUGAUCCCCAGCCAGCAUCCGGGUAAUCCCCAGCCAGCAUCCGGGUGAUCCCCAGCCAGCAUCCGGGAACUUGGCUUUUGGAACGUUUCCUGAGUGACUGGUUGACCAGGUCGUUUGUGCACUCAGGGAACUAAGCCGUUCCCUACCAGCUGCCUGGACUCUGCAGUGUGAUCAGCGCACGCCUGACUUCUGUCACCACAGUGGCUGCACAGGCAGAGGGUGCCUAUGUGACCAGCCCCCUGUAGAAGCCCCGCACUCGGAGACCUACACGGCCUCCCUGGGAAGCGACACUCUGGAUGUGUUGCUGACUUGGUUGCUGGAGCAAGACGCGUGUUUGGUGGACUCCCCUGGGUCUUUCUCCCCUGCUGAUCUUGCUACGUGGCCUUUCUCUGUAAUAAGCCAUGGAGUCCACUCUCUAAUCACGCAGUGUGUGGUGGCCCCAGGACCCCUGAGACGUGGAGCUGGCAGGGAAGACAGGCAGCUGCCCGAGGCGCUUGAGGCAGAGAAGGAUGGGGAAUAGCCUGGCUCCUCCCCGCCCCCCAUCACCCACCAGGGCCUCUCACUGUCUGAGCUCAGCCUGAGGCUAGCUGACCAGGGGUGUGGGAAGCCCAACUCUACAAAUUCGCAGCAGAUCAGCCCCCAACCCCCACAAAUUCCCAGCAGAUCAGGAAGGGCGGGGCAUGGAUGAAAGGGCAUCAGGGCCACAGGCCCAGGACAGGCACGUGGGUUGCUCUUGGAGGCAUUUGCAGGUACACUAAGAAGCUCCAGGAAGGACACACACACACACAUAUACACACACAUACACAUACAUAUGCACACACAUACAUACACAGACACACACACACACGUACACAGACACACAGACACACAUACACACACACAUUCCCCUGCCCUCCCAUCUCCAGACCUUGCGGUCCCCAUGAGCUUCCCGAUUCCUGGCACUGCCGGGCUGUCCUGAAGGCUCUUUUGGCCAGAAAUGGGCAGGGAUCUGAGAGCACCUGCUGUCGGGUGAGUCCUACUGUACUCAUGUCAGAGAUUAGGACGAGAAGACACAGGAGUGAGCUGGGCUGGAGUCUCAGCUGCAGAUGACAAGGAGAGCACAGUGGAAAGCCUGGCCCACCUCCCCUCCCCACUGGGCCCCUGGGUGGGAUACCACCAUUUCCAGAAUGGGCUGUGGGUUGCGCGGGCUCCUGAGGUUCGCUGAACCGGGGCUCUGAGGGGUCCCCAAAGUGCUUCCUCCCUGUCCUGUGCCCCCACCCCAUGGGGUGGAAGAGCCGCCCACAGGCCUGGGUUCCGCCAUGCACAAGGGAACUGGACCUUGGUGACUAUUCAGGAGGGAGUCUCCGGGCUGCCCUUCCCAUGACCACAUGUCAAUCCCCUUUGGCCCCAAGGGAAUUUCUCAUAACCCUCCCUUGGAGGAGCCCCCUCGGUGCCAGCCCACCCUCAUCACUCUCUCCUGAACCCCCAUGAACAGACUCCGUGGCGCCUCCACCUGCCUUUGUCCCGCCAACCCUCCCUGUCCAGAGCAGCCAUGGGGCCUCUUACAGUUUUAAGUCUGUCUGCAUCACGCGUUUCCUCAGAGUCUCCUCAGGCUGGGUGAGUCCUCGUCCUAAUAGGCCCUGACUGCCUGGCGCUGCCUACCUCUCCUGCCUCAGCAGGAGCUGCCCACACCUGUCCUCAGCCAACCAAGCUCCUAACCGUCGGGGAUCCUGGGACUCGGGCCUGCCUUUGCUGGACACUUCCGUCAGAUUUCUACCUGGCCACGUUCCACUCUUUCUUAAGGAUUCUGCUUAAAAGUCACGUCCUCUAAGGCUCCUCGCUGGCCUUCCCCACCACAUUGAUGUCCAGUGUCUUCCCCAGGAACACCCUCCCAGUCACAUAAACCUCAGGCCCACAAGGCCUGGGCGCCUCUCCUGCUUCCCUAUGCCAUGUGCCCCGGGGACGAGGGCCCCACCUGCCAGCUUGUGGACUUCAAUUCCCAUCAGUGCUCACCCUACUGCAGCCCAUUCUCACUGCAAAUGCUCUUUGUUUUAUUUAUUUAUUUAUUUAUUUAUUUAUUUAUUUAUUUAUUUAUUUUUGAUAAUUGGGAAAACUUUUAACUGUGAUUCAUUACAUUAAUACCCAAUAGAUGCAUCUGGCAAAAUAAUUAAAUGAUAAAAAUCACAAUAAUUUUAAUUUUAAAAUCAAAAUAAUUUAAAUCAGCUUAGUAAAACCUUUCUCACCUUCCACCUAUGCAUUUCAUCAGUGAGAAAAAUCUUGAUCUAGUGAAGUUGGGGCAGGGGCAAUGUAUAAGCCCUCUUACCUCCCCAGGACACAGCAUAAGUCUGGAAUAGACAGUUCAGGAAGCAGUCUCUUAAACUGCAUCGUGAUGAUGAAGUCCUAUAUUAAGUAAGAUCCCAAAGAUGGUUAAUAGCAGGCAGGCUAAGAGCUGUAACCUCUAGUCUUUUCCUUAUGAAAUAUUGCUUCCAGUUUAAUUGAUUUUAUUUAGAUGGGUUUACACUUAAACACAGAUAUUCAGGCAGCACUUGUAUUUCCCUAGGGACUCUGUUUAUAAACAUUCAGAGAUAGUUAUGGAUAAAGUUAGAAUAUCUUUCCCUCUUUUGCUUAAUAUUUAUUAAGGACUUACUAUGUGUUAUAUUCUGUGCUAUGUGUUUUACAUAAAAUACAUCAUCACAAUGACCUUCUUUUGCAGAUGAAGAAACAAAAGUUCUGAGAGGUCUUCAGGAACUUGUAUAUAAUUACAGAGGUAAUAAGGAUUGGUUGGAAAUGAAACCAAGGGCUACCUCCUGUCCCCAAAGCUCAUGCUCUUAACCCCUUCACCAUGAGUUUCUGGUUCUAUUCCUAGACUCUAGGCAUCAUAUACUCCUGUUAAUACUUUCUGUCUUCAAGCAAGUCCAUUUACAUUUAUAUUAUAAAAGGUUAAAUUGUUCAUGAAUAUAGCUUCUAGAUUCAGACCACCUGGAUUCAAAUUUAGACUCCACAUAUACUGGCUGUGAGAUAUUGCCCAGUGUGCAUAAUCUUGCCAAGGCCUCAAUUUCUUCACUUAUAGUAUAGGGAAGACAGUAUGGCCUACCUAGUGACAAUGGAUGGUUGUGAGGAUUAAACGAGAUAAAUCAUGUAAAGCAUUUGCCUGACUCUUAUUAAGUGUUCAAUAAUACUCUCAUAGAGUGUAAACUCCUUUGAAAUUAGGCAUAAGACUUUAGGUAUAUAAAGAGCCUGAACAGAGAUGUACUUGAAUUCACGUCUUUAUAAAACACAAAAAUUAUUGCAACAAUCUUCAAAUAGUCUUCAAGCCUUCUCCACACAUUGUUGUAAUCUAUGUAAAGGAAAAUAAAAAAAUCUCAGCCAGGAGCGGUGGCUGAAGCCUGUAAUCCCAGCACUUUGGGAGGCCAAGGUGGGCGGAUCACCUGAGGUCAGGAGUUCGAGACCAGUCUGGGCAACAUGGUGAAACCCCGUCUCUACUAAAAAUUCAAAAAAUUAGCCAGACAUGGUGGCAUACACCUAUAAUCCCAGCUACUCUGAAGGCUGAGACAGGAGAAUCACUUGAACCCGGG
rnacentral:lncRNA from 10 species